GACGAACGCUGGCGGCGUGCUUAACACAUGCAAGUCGAACGGAAAGGCCCUGCUUUUGUGGGGUGCUCGAGUGGCGAAAGGGUGAGUAACACGUGAGUAACCUGCCCUUGACUUUGGGAUAACUUCAGGAAACUGGGGCUAAUACCGGAUAGGAGCUCCUGCUGCAUGGUGGGGGUUGGAAAGUUUCGGCGGUUGGGGAUGGACUCGCGGCUUAUCAGCUUGUUGGUGGGGUAGUGGCUUACCAAGGCUUUGACGGGUAGCCGGCCUGAGAGGGUGACCGGCCACACUGGGACUGAGAUACGGCCCAGACUCCUACGGGAGGCAGCAGUGGGGAAUAUUGCACAAUGGGCGGCAGCCUUAUGCAGCAACGCCGCGUGCUGGAUGACGGCCUUCGGGUUGUAACCCGCUUUCGCCUGUGACGAAGCGUGAGUGACGGUAAUGGGUAAAGAAGCACCGGCUAACUACGUG
rnacentral:rRNA from 1 species